GAGGGUAUAUCUCAAUGGUAGAGCGCAUGCCUAGUAUGCACGAGGUCCUGGGUUCAAUCCCGGUACGUCCA
rnacentral:tRNA from 1 species